rnacentral:rRNA from 1 species
AACGUAGGAGGCAAGCGUUAUCCGGAUUUACUGGGUGUAAAGCGCGUGCAGGCGGUCGUGCAAGUCACUUGUGAAAGCGCCCGGCUCAACCGGGCGAGGACGAGUGAAACUGCGCGACUGGGGGUCGGUAGAGGCGUGUGGAAUUCCGGGUGUAGUGGUGAAAUGCGUAGAGAUCCGGAGGAACACCAGUGGCGAAGGCGACACGCUGGACCGCACCCGACGCUCAGACGCGACAGCAUGGGGAGCGAACGGG